UACGGGGGGGGCAAGCGUUGUUCGGAAUUACUGGGCGUAAAGGGCUCGUAGGCGGCCAACUAAGUCAGACGUGAAAUCCCUCAGCUUAACUGGGGAACUGCGUCUGAUACUGGAUGGCUUGGAUUCGGGAGAGGAAUGCGGAAUUCCAGGUGUAGCGGUGAAAUGCGUAGAUAUCUGGAGGAACACCGGUGGCGAAGGCGGCAUUCUGGACCGAUAUUGACGCUGAGGAGCGAAAGCGUGGGGAGCGAACAGG
rnacentral:rRNA from 1 species